rnacentral:rRNA from 1 species
GGAAACCUACGGGACGCAGCAGUGGGGAAUAUUGCACAAUGGGGGAAACCCUGAUGCAGCGACGCCGCGUGAGUGAAGAAGUAUCUCGGUAUGUAACGCUCUAUCAGCAGGGAAGAAAAUGACGGUACCUGACUAAGAAGCCCCGGCUAACUACGUGCCAGCAGCCGCGGUAAUACGUAGGGGGCAAGCGUUAUCCGGAUUUACUGGGUGUAAAGGGAGCGUAGACGGCGCUGCA